CGUGCAGGCGGUUCGUUAAGUCUGAUGUGAAAGCCCCGGGCUCAACCCGGGAAGUGCAUUGGAAACUGGCGAACUUGAGUAUGGGAGAGGGAAGUGGAAUUCCGAGUGUAGGGGUGAAAUCCGUAGAUAUUCGGAGGAACACCAGUGGCGAAGGCGGCUUCCUGGACCAAUACUGACGCUGAGACGCGAAAGCGUGGGGAGCAAACA
rnacentral:rRNA from 1 species